rnacentral:rRNA from 1 species
UCAGCAGGCCGCGGUAAUACGGAGGGGGUUAGCGUUGUUCGGAAUUACUGGGCGUAAAGCGUACGUAGGCGGAUUAGUAAGUUGGGGGUGAAAUCCCAGGGCUCAACCCUGGAACUGCCUCCAAAACUACUAGUCUUGAGAUCGUGAGAGGUGAGUGGAAUUCCGAGUGUAGAGGUGAAAUUCGUAGAUAUUCGGAGGAACAUCAGUGGCGAAGGCGGCUCACUGGCACGAUACUGACGCUGAGGUACGAAAGUGUGGGGAGCAAACAGGAUUAGAUACCCUGGUAGUCCACACCGUAAACGAUGAAUGCCAGACGUCAGGGGGCUUGCCCUUUGGUGUCACACCUAACGGAUUAAGCAUUCCGCCUGGGGAGUACGGUCGCAAGAUUAAAACUCAAAGGAGUUUGAC